AAUCCACUAAUUUCUUAAUAUAAACUAAUAUAUUAAUUGCCACUUGUUAUUAACCCAAUUAAACAAUUACGGAUUUAAUUAGAUUAAUUAGCAAUAUGUUGUCUUCCCAAGAGAUUCAAUGGGCCCCUUGAAUUCUCAAGAAAACAACAAUGGAGGUGGUGUUCCUCGAAUUCAGAAAUUAAUAGAAAAUAGAAAAUAAGAUGAAGAGAAUUAAAGUACAUAACCUCACAACUUGAAUAAACCUCAAUUUAAUUUAACCUUCAACUGAAAAAUAAAUGUUUAGCCACUCAUGGCCAUAAUAAAAUUAUAACAACUAAGUAAAAGAAAAAGAAAAGAAGAUGGAGAAGAAGGUGGAGAACAGUAAGAGAGGAAAUGAGAGUGAGAGGUAGAACGUGUUUUUUCUAGGUUGAAUGCUAGGAGCCUUUAUAUAGGCACAAAAAGAUAAAACUUAAAAUAAAAACUAUUAUCCCUAUCUUAUCUCUAUCUUCAUCUUAUCUCUAUCUUCAUCUUAUCUCUAUCCUCAUCCGAUUGAGUUUGAUUCAAAUUAACUCCACUCGAAGCUGAUACUAUCUUUGCUUAGGUGGCAAAAUCUAUCUUAUCUCCCCAUCGCCUCCCAAUAUAAAAAUCCUUUAAUUUCGCUUUUUUUUCUUCCUUUUUUCAACUUUUGCUAACAACCCUGUACAAAAUUAAAUUCAAAUUAAAAUUAAAUAUUUACAUAAAAAUUACAGUAAAAUCAAGAAAUUAAAUGAGGAAAAAAAAUUGUGAGUUUUGCAACUCAUCAGAUUCCCCCACACUUGCACCUUUGCUUAUCCUCAAGCACAAAAAUUGAAAUGAAACAAUGAAAUACAGCCCUGUCCUCAACCAAUCUGAAAUUUAAUUUGUCCAAAGCAAAGAACCAAAUUGUCAUGCAAUAGGAUGAUAGCAGAAAUAGCUUAACUCACCAAAGUUCACUUCAAUAAGUUUCAUAUUUAAAACAUGUUUCUCAACUCAUAAAGUUGGUCCUCAAUUCUAUUUCAAGCACAUAAAAUAUUAGAAUGCCAUAUAAUAUUAAACUGCCCUUUUAAAAGAAUAGAAUCUUAGAACUCUUGACUAGACCAAUAAAAUUUAAAGAUUUGGGGGUUUAUUAUUUAUUUUUUACACUUCCUACUAUAUCUUGCCUGAAACCGAUAAAGUGAACGUGAAACAAAUGGUUACUGAGCCACUUGCCCCAGGUUAUUCAGCUCAGGUGGCUACUAGCUCCACUCAUAAUUACCCAAUAAAAAGGUAUGGGCGAGUUUUUUAAACGGCCCAAAAGGGGUGAUACUCUCCCAAACACCGAUUUCUCCAUACAGAAUUACCUUAAGGGGUCACCAAGUACCGCACUACUUGGGCCAUCGGGUUGGUAACCAAUUGAUCAAGCAACUAGAGGAAUGAGUCAUAGGAGUGCAUUUAUUUUUUAUUUUUAUUUUUCUUUUUUCUUUUUUUUUUAUUAUUUUUUUUUUGCGACACCCCUUAAUUUCCACAUAAAUAUAUAGUCUAGAAAAUAUCCUUUAAUUCAUUCUCAAUAAAGGGCAGCAACUCAUUUAAAAGAAUAUGCAUUUUUUUACCCAACUAUUUAAAUAAGGACCAUACUUCAUGAUAUUUCAAAACAAGCCUUAAAAAUAAAACUAAUAAAAUGAACAAUGAUAAAUUUAUUCUAUUUAAGCUAGCAUGCAAAUGACAUAAAAACUUAGAUUCUACGAUAGAGGACAUAUCAAUUUCUCAUGGUAAGAAUGGGGCUGUAAAAAUUUUUUAUUUUUUAUUUUUUAUUUUUUUGAAUAAAAUGAUGCUUAAUAUUGGAAAUUCUAAAAAUUAAAAAUGAGAAACAAUUUAAAGUGCAAGUGCUGAGAAUCAAAAUAACAAAAGUUUUUAUAGGCUUGGGCAAGCCUCUACCUCAAACACCAAAAACUCAAAGAAAAAUGGCAGAAAAAGAAAUAAAAAUUCUCAAAAAUUUCCAAAAAUUUCAGAAUGUUCAUCAAUCAUCAAUCACAAAAAAAAAAAACUUCAAUUUCCAUACCACAUCUCCCCCCACACUUACUCCUUACAUUGUCCUCAAUGUGGAAAAAAUUCAAUCAAACGGGGAAGUCCACAAAAUAAAAUAAAAGUAAGUUAAAAAAAACUUCCCUGAGGAGUAAGUCCAUAGAACUCAAGUUGGUGGUGGGUUUCAUUUUUCGGUCUUGGAGUUGCUUCAAAAUCUCAUGUUUCAUCUCCUCAUCAUCAUAACUCAUCACGUCUGCAAACGCUGGUGUGUGGUUGCAUCCGGCGAGGAAGUGGAUGGCAGCGGAGGCGGCGCUGACGAUCUUCAAAAAGGUUUCCUAAAGUCCCGAAUUGCCUAGAAAAUCCAAUCUGCUCCAAAAAUAACAAAUAAAUUAAUUUAAAACUAAAACCUAAAAGGAAAACUUACUUGUGACUCUACAGGCUUGCGCAAGCCUGUAACCCUGGGUUGCCUCCCAAGUAGCGCCCUUGUUUAUUGUCCUAGGCUGGACAGUGGCAUGUUAUGUUUCAUCCACUUCCCUCUUCAUAUUCAUUCAACACCCAAAUUAACUUCAUUGCUUUUAAAGGAUUCAACUUGGAGGAGAUUAUGAUUGAAAAUGUGUUAUUACUUUCCAAAAAUAAAUAUUUCAAAUGAGCUGAAAGUAAUUUUAACUCAAGUUCUGGUGCCUUAUGAUUCAAAGUGUCCAAUGAGUGGUUUAUUUCUAUGAUUUCUUCACUGAAUUGCGAUGUCCUAUUGUCAAGGCAGCCCAUUGUCAAGUUUUCGAUUAAAACUACCUCCAACUUGUUUUUCUUGCUUAGUUCAAAGGCUUCUUGAGCGAGAGGAUCAAUUAUAUCUAUGCUGCAAAGAGAAAAAUUAUCAUCAGAAUGUUUCAUUGCAUCAUAAACAUUAAACUUUAGCUCUUCUCCAUCAAACUCCAUUGAAAGUGUGCCUUCAUGUACGUCGAUCUUCGUUCUAGCUGUGCUGAGGAAUGGUCUUCCUAGCAAUAAAUCUGUAGAGUGGGAUGAAUUGUUAUCUUCCAUAUCCAAGACAAAAAAGUCAGCUGGAAAAAUUAAUCUUCCCACUUGAACCAAAACAUCUUCCAACACGCCCUUAGGAUAAACUAUUGAUCUAUCGGCGAGUUGGAGUGUAACUCCUGUUUGUUUCAAAGGACCUGCAUCCAAAGACAAAUAAACUGACAGAGGCAUAACAUUUAUGGAAGCUCCUAAAUCACACAUUGCCUUCUUGAUUUCAAGGUUUCCAACUUUACAUGAUAUCGCAAACAUGCCUUUGUCUUUACAUUUUUGUGCAAUUUUUCUUUGGAGUACAGCUGAUACAUUUUCUCUUACUUUAAUAUUUUCGUACCCAUACAAUUUUCUUUUAUUAGUGCAAAGGUCUUUUAAAAAUUUCGCGUACCUGGGUAUUUGCUUUAUGGUUUCAAGAAGGGGUAUGUUUACCUGGACUUUGCGAAAAAUCUCCAAGAUGUCUUUCUCUUCCUUUUCUCUUUUUGAUUGAGAAAAUCUUUCGGGAAAAGGUGGAUGUAUUACCUGUAUUGGAGAUUGUUCUUCCUCAGAUUUCUGGGGUUCUUUCUCUUCUAGAAUCUCUAUUUCUGCUUCUGUCUUCUGGUCUGCCUUACUGCCUUGGGCAAGCUUCUUCGGGCUGGCAAAUUCUAACUCCUUCCCACUUCGCAGCAUAAUUGCGCUUACGUUCUGUUUUGGAUUUGGUAUGGUUUGAGAGGGUAGUUUCCCUUGAGAUUCUAGUUUGCUCACUGAUGUAGCAAGUUGGCUCAUUUGAUUCUCCAAAUUCUGAAUGCUUGACUUUGUUUCCUGUUGAAAAGCAAGAGUGCUAUUAGCAAGGGAUUGAACAAUGUCUUCUAGAGACAUACCUGAUUUUGCAGCUUGAUAGUUGGUUCUUGGUUGGUAGUUCUGCGGUCUAUUCCCAUAGCUAAGGUUUGGAUGAUCUCUCCACCCCGGAUUGUAAGUGCUUGAAAAUGGGUCAUACUUCCUUUGUUGUCCAUUGAAUUGUUGUCCAUUGAACCCUCCAAUGGCGUUUACCUGUUGCUCUCCUUCUUGAAGGAUAGGACACAUAUCUGUGGGAUGAUCUGCUUGUUUGCAAAUGCCACAAGUUCUUGCAUUAUUCCCUGUAGCCAAUUGUUGAAUUGCAGCUGUUAGUUGUGAAAUUUUAGAAUCUAAAGAUGCAAUACUUACUUCAUUGGCAUUUCUUGAAAUGUCCUCUUCUUGGCCAUACUGUCUAGAGUUGGCAGCUAAUUUGGAGAUUAAAGUUUUACCUUUUUCAGGUUCCAUUUCUGCAAUGGCUCCUCCACUAGCAGCAUCUAUUAUUCUUUGUUCUAAUGGCAAAAGUCCUUCGUAAAAGUGAAGAUUAAGUUGUUUUGGAGUGAUUCCAUGUUUUGGACAACUUGCAAUUAAUUUCUUAUACCUUUCCCAAUAUUUAUGUAAAGUUUCAUUUUUUCUUUGUUUAAUUCCACUUAUUUCCUUUCUUAUUGAUGAUGCUUUGGUCGCUGUGAAAAAUCUUUCUAAGAAUAAGUCUCUAAUUUGCGCCCAAGUGGUGAUUGAACCUGGGGGCAAAUAGUAGAGCCAAUCCUUAGCAGAUUCAAUUAAAGUGAAAGGGAAAGCUACCAACCUUAUUUGUUCGUCAGUUAUACCUUGUGGUCUCAUACUUGAACAGACCACAUAAAACUCCUUUAGAUGACGAUGAGGGUCUUCAUUCUCCAAGCCUUGGAAUUUUGGUAACAUAUGAAUCAUACCUGUUCGUAAUUCCAAUGGACCAUUCAGUAUUGGGUAUGUGAUGCAAAGGGGUUGCUCUUCAGUGGCAGCAGCUGCAGCCAUAUUGUCUCUUUGGUUUGUAUCAAUUAGUGGCUCAGUUAGUGUUGAAGAUGAGGUCUCUUCGGUGCGCAAAGGGGAUUGGGCAGAUGGUUGAGAGGCUCCCGAAUUGGCCUUUUUUUGCAACUUGGUUGCUUUUCUCAACCUUUUUGCAGUCUUCUCAAUUUCUGGAUCAAACUGAAUCCUGCUAUUCUCAGAUCUGGUCAUAAAAACAAAAACAAAUUGUUAGAGGUCCCCGGCAACGGCGCCAAAAUUUGACGGGUGCCGAAUCCGUCAAUUUAAAAUUUACUUCCCUUCUCUUGAUUGUUAAGAACUUGAAGAUAGGGUGAGUGAGUAUCGAUCCCACAGAGACCUCAAAUCUGCUUAAUUUAAAUGACCAAAUUGAAAUAGAGAAAUAGUUUAAUGAAAAAGUGAGAAAAAGAGAUUUUUCUUUUUUAUGAAAAUGGUUGUGCCUUGGGCAAGCCAAUAAAAAUAAACUUAAGAGAAAAUAAAUAAAUAAUGUAAUUGAAAAUUUAGAAACAACUAAUUAAUUAAAACUUUCAGCUGAAGGUAAUCAAAUUGAGUUAUUUUGCAGUUGAUCAUUGAUUAAAAAAAAUAAUUCAUUUUAUUAUCUAUUGUUUGGUUAUAGUGGUCAAACACGCGAAUCCCACCAAUUCUUCCUUAUGAAUAAAUUAAUCCGCUUCGCACUUAAAUUAAUUCCUAGUCAACUAAUAACCCCAACAAGCGUGUAGAUUUAAUUAGUCAACGGCUUUAAGAGAGAAGAACUCAAACUUGAUUAAUAAAAACACGCGUUUUAUUUAAAUCAAAUCAACUAAUUUCUUAAUAUAAACUAAUAUAUUAAUUGCCACUUGUUAUUAACCCAAUUAAACAAUUACGGAUUUAAUUAGAUUAAUUAGCAAUAUGUUGUCUUCCCAAGAGAUUCAAUAGGCCUCUUGAAUUCUCAAGAAAACAACAAUGGAGGUGGUAUUCCUCGAAUUCAGAAAUUAAUAGAAAAUAGAAAAUAAGAUGAAGAGAAUUAAAGUACAUAACCUCACAACUUGAACAAACCU
rnacentral:lncRNA from 1 species